AUACGGGGGGUGCAAGCGUUACUCGGAAUCACUGGGCGUAAAGCGCGCGCAGGCGGGCUGAUAAGUUGGAUGUGAAAGCCUACGGCUCAACCAUAGAACUGCAUCCAAAACUGUCAGUCUAGAGUCUGGGAGGGGAAGAUGGAAUUAGUUGUGUAGGGGUAAAAUCCGUAGAGAUAACUAGGAAUACCAAAAGCGAAGGCAAUCUUCUGGAACACUACUGACGCUGAGGCGCGAAAGCGUGGGGAGCAAACAGGAUUAGAAACCCUAGUAGUCC
rnacentral:rRNA from 1 species